rnacentral:rRNA from 1 species
CGUAAACAAAGGGAAGCUAGCCGGUGACGGUGCGCGAAUCCCAAAAAUAACGUCUCAGUUCGGAUUGUAGUCUGCAACUCGACUACAUGAAGCUGGAAUCGCUAGUAAUCGCGGAUCAGAAUGCCGCGGUGAAUACGUUCCCGGGUCUUGUACACACCGCCCGUCACACCAUGGGAGUCGGGAAUGCCCGAAGUCAGUGACCCAACCGAAAGGGGGGAGCUGCCGAAGGCAGGCCUGGUAACUGGGGUGAAGUCGUAACAAGGUAAC